rnacentral:rRNA from 1 species
AUUAGACGAAUCAUCUGGAAAGAUGAAUCAAAGAAGGUAAUAAUCCUGUAGUCGAAAAUGUUGUCUCUCUUGAGUGGAUCCUGAGUACGACGGAGCACGUGAAAUUCCGUCGGAAUCUGGGAGGACCAUCUCCUAAGGCUAAAUACUCUCUAGUGACCGAUAGUGAACCAGUACCGUGAGGGAAAGGUGAAAAGCACCCCGGAAGGGGAGUGAAAUAGAACCUGAAACCGUGUGCUUACAAGUAGUCAGAGCCCGUUAAUGGGUGAUGGCGUGCCUUUUGUAGAAUGAACCGGCGAGUUACGAUUUGAUGCAAGGUUAAGCAGUAAAUGUGGAGCCGUAGCGAAAGCGAGUCUGAAUAGGGCGUUUAGUAUUUGGUCGUAGACCCGAAACCAGGUGAUCUACCCUUGGUCAGGUUGAAGUUCAGGUAACACUGAAUGGAGGACCGAACCGACUUACGUUGAAAAGUGAGCGGAUGAACUGAGGGUAGCGGAGAAAUUCCAAUCGAACCUGGAGAUAGCUGGUUCUCUCCGAAAUAGCUUUAGGGCUAGCCUCAAGUGAUGAUUAUUGGAGGUAGAGCACUGUUUGGACGAGGGGCCCCUCUCGGGUUACCGAAUUCAGACAAACUCCGAAUGCCAAUUAAUUUAACUUGGGAGUCAGAACAUGGGUGAUAAGGUCCGUGUUCGAAAGGGAAACAGCCCAGACCACCAGCUAAGGUCCCAAAAUAUAUGUUAAGUGGAAAAGGAUGUGGCGUUGCCCAGACAACUAGGAUGUUGGCUUAGAAGCAGCCAUCAUUUAAAGAGUGCGUAAUAGCUCACUAGUCGAGUGACACUGCGCCGAAAAUGUACCGGGGCUAAACAUAUUACCGAAGCUGUGGAUUGUCCUUUGGACAAUGGUAGGAGAGCGUUCUAAGGGCGUUGAAGCAUGAUCGUAAGGACAUGUGGAGCGCUUAGAAGUGAGAAUGCCGGUGUGAGUAGCGAAAGACGGGUGAGAAUCCCGUCCACCGAUUGACUAAGGUUUCCAGAGGAAGGCUCGUCCGCUCUGGGUUAGUCGGGUCCUAAGCUGAGGCCGACAGGCGUAGGCGAUGGAUAACAGGUUGAUAUUCCUGUACCACCUAUAA